rnacentral:rRNA from 1 species
GAACCGAGCGAACGUUGUUCGGAAUCACUGGGCUUAAAGGGCGCGUAGGCGGCUUGCCAAGUCAGGGGUGAAAUUUUGCGGCUUAACCGUAACAGUGCCUUUGAUACUGGCAGGCUAGAGGGAGAUAGGGGUUCGCGGAACUUCUGGUGGAGCGGUGAAAUGCGUUGAUAUCAGAAGGAACGCCGGUGGCGAAAGCGGCGGACUGGAUCUCUUCUGACGCUGAGGCGCGAAAGCUAGGGGAGCAAACGGGAUUAGAUACCCCGGUAGUCCUAGCCCUAAACGAUGGGUACUAGAUUGUAAGCGUGACAUGCGCCUACAGUCGAAGCAAAAGUGUUAAGUACCCCGCCUGGGGAGUAUGGUCGCAAGGCUGAA